GGGCCCGCACAAGCGGUGGAGCAUGUGGUUUAAUUCGAUGAUACGCGAGGAACCUUACCAGGGCUUAAAUGUAGUCUGACAGGGGUGGAAACACCCCCUCCUUCGGGCAGAUUACAAGGUGCUGCAUGGUUGUCGUCAGCUCGUGCCGUGAGGUGUCAGGUUAAGUCCUAUAACGAGCGCAACCCCUGCCGUUAGUUGCCAGCAUGUAAUGAUGGGAACUCUAACGGGACUGCCGGUGCAAACCGCGAGGAAGGUGGGGAUGACGUCAAAUCAUCACGGCCCUUACGUCCUGGGCUACACACGUGCUACAAUGGCCGGUACAGAGGGCAGCCACACCGCAAGGUGGAGCGAAUCCUUAAAACCGGUCUCAGUUCGGAUCGGGGUCUGCAACUCGGCCCCGUGAAGCUGGAAUCGCUAGUAAUCGGAUAU
rnacentral:rRNA from 1 species